rnacentral:rRNA from 1 species
UGGGGAAUAUUGCACAAUGGGCGCAAGCCUGAUGCAGCCAUGCCGCGUGUAUGAAGAAGGCCUUCGGGUUGUAAAGUACUUUCAGCGGGGAGGAAGGUGUUGUGGUUAAUAACCACAGCAAUUGACGUUACCCGCAGAAGAAGCACCGGCUAACUCCGUGCCAGCAGCCGCGGUAAUACGGAGGGUGCAAGCGUUAAUCGGAAUUACUGGGCGUAAAGCGCACGCAGGCGGUCUGUCAAGUCGGAUGUGAAAUCCCCGGGCUCAACCUGGGAACUGCAUCCGAAACUGGCAGGCUUGAGUCUUGUAGAGGGGGGUAGAAUUCCAGGUGUAGCGGUGAAAUGCGUAGAGAUCUGGAGGAAUACCGGUGGUGAAGGCGG